CGUCGCGACGAUAGGCGUCUCGGUGCGUCCAGGAGCGUCCGGUUUCGCAAAUUUGACAUUUCGCGGGGUUCCCUGGGGACUCUAUGCGGUAAACCGGGAAGACAGGAUUAGUUCAGGGGUGGUUUCCUAUGACAAACGCUAGAAAUAUACUGAAAUGUCACAGGAUUAGAUAAGAUUUUGGUCCCCGAAAGCUUCCUGAAAUCUUCGAAUCAAUAUGAACUCUAGCCUGAAAAAUCAACAUAUCAAAAUUUCUGGAAUAAAUCUCCAUUACCCAUGGGAAAAUGGCAGAUUCUUCAACAAUGCGCCAUGAAAAAUGCAACGUCGCCGGUGUAACAAUUGAAAUUGUUUUAUAGAGGGUGUUGUUAUCACUAUGAAACGUUUUCUGUCAAGUUUUAUAGUGUGCUUGUUAGUGUUGUUUGGGGUGACUGGUGAGUUGUGGACUAAGAAAGAAGAUAGAUUCUAUGAUUUUGCAAAUUUUCCAAAAUCUCGUCAAGGAAGAAGCUACGUGGCCAGGGGGAAAAACUACGGAUCAGCAAACUCACUGACCAGAUUUUCUGAGCAAGAUGGUAUGUUCAUCACGCAGAAUUUUUCAACUGUCAUUGCUCAGAUGGGAGGCACGGCAAAGUUGCCUUGUAUCAUCAGGAAAUUCAACAAUAUAGUGGUUUCCUGGAUAAGAAAAAACGAUUCGCCUCCCACGAUCCUUACAGUCGGUCUAGGAACCUACAUUGCCGACGAGAGGUUUUUAGUCGAGCAUGCCCGCCAUUUGCAAAAUUGGGGUUUGGUCAUCAAGCAUGUCCAGAUAUCGGAUGCAGGGUUGUAUGAAUGUCAAGUUUCAACUCACCCUACAACAAGUAUCUUCAUAGAGCUCAAAGUUACAGAGGCUGUGGCUGAAAUCAGUGGGGCUCCCGACCUGCACAUCAGAGCCGGAUCUAGGCUUCGCAUAGUUUGUCGAUUAAGGCACAGCACGGAGCCUCCAUCCUACGUGUUCUGGUAUCACGAUCACAGAAUGAUCAAUCACGAUGUUGGAGUAGUGGUCACCGCGGACAGAUCGACCAGUAUUCUACUUGUAGAAGAUGUAGACCCUACUUUCAGCGGAAACUACACUUGUUAUCCUUCAAAUGCUACACCAGCAUAUGUGAACGUUCACGUUCUGAACUCUACAGAAGAAGAGAACCCGGCAGCCAUGAUGCACAACAAUACCAAUCAUCAUGUUGCAUGUUAUUUUCUGCUCUUAGUUUUCCUGUUUUUGCAUGUAUUAUGUUUUGCCAGCUAAAAAAACAUUAUUGGAGUGUAUAGUUUUAAACUUAAGACUAAUAUUUUUGAAGUUGCUUUUCGUACAAAGAAAAUCCCGAUUUCGAGAUAGAGAAUGCUAGAGAAAAAUACUUGGAAAAUUGGCAGA
rnacentral:misc_RNA from 1 species